rnacentral:rRNA from 1 species
AGUGAACGCUGGCGGCAGGCCUAAUACAUGCAAGUCGAACGGCAGCACAGUGGAGCUUGCUCCAUGGGUGGCGAGUGGCGGACGGGUGAGGAAUACAUGGGAAUCUGCCCAGUCGUGGGGGAUAACGUAUGGAAACGUACGCUAAUACCGCAUGCGCCCUUCGGGGGAAAGUCGGGGACCGCAAGGCCUGACGCGAUUGGAUGAGCCCAUGUUCGAUUAGCUAGUUGGCGGGUAACGGCCCACCAAGGCGACGAUCGAUAGCUGGUCUGAGAGGAUGAUCAGCCACACUGGAACUGAGACACGGUCCAGACUCCUACGGGAGGCAGCAGUAGGGAAUAUUGGACAAUGGGCGCAAGCCUGAUCCAGCCAUGCCGCGUGAGUGAAGAAGGCCCUCGGGUUGUAAAGCUCUUUGUUGGGGAAGAAAGCAGUUGGUUAAUACCCGAUUGUUCUGACGGUACCCAAGAAUAAGCACCGGCUAACUUCGUGCCAGCAGCC